AGUGGCAGACGGGUGAGUAACGCGUAGAUAUCUACCUUAUAGUAAGGAAUAGCUCAUCGAAAGGUGGGGUAAUACCAUAUAGUUCCCUCCGGGGUAAAGGCGUAAGCCGCUAUAAGAGGAGUCUGCGUCCUAUCAGGCAGUUGGUGGGGUAAUGGCCUACCAAACCUAUGACGGGUAGCCGGUGUGAGAGCACGACCGGCCACAAGGUCACUGAGACACGGGACCUACAUCUACGGAUGGCAGCAACCGGGAAUUUUGCGCAAUGGGCGAAAGCCUGACGCAGCGACACCGCGUGUGGGAAGAAGUUCUUCGGAAUGUAAACUACUGUGGCGAGGGAAGAAAUUUUGACUGUACCUCGCUAGAAAGCACCUGCUAACUACGUGCCAGAAGCCUCGGUAAUACGUAGGGUGCAAGCGUUAUCCGGAUUUACUGGGCGUAAAGAGUUCCGUCGGCGUCUUUGUAAGUUGCUUGUUUAAGCCUAGGGCUCAACUCUAGAUCAGCAAGCAAAACUACAAGGAUUGAGUCUGUUUUGAGAAGCUAGAAUUCUCGGUGGAGGGGUGAAAUCCGUAGAUAUCGAGAGGAAUACCAGUCGCGAAGGCGGGCUUCUAAAACAGUACUGACGCUCAGGGACGAAAGCUUGGGUAGCAAAAGGGAUUAGAGACCCCUGUAGUCCAAGCUGUAAACACUGUUCGCUAGUUGC
rnacentral:rRNA from 1 species